CCGCGCUGUAAACGAUGAUGGCUAACCGUGGGCGAUACACAGUCCGUGGCCAAGCGAAAGCGAUAAGCCAUCCACCUGGGGAGUACGGCCGCAAGGCUGAAACUCAAAGGAAUUGACGGGGGCCCGCACAAGCGGAGGAACAUGUGGUUUAAUUCGAUGAUACGCGAGGAACCUUACCCGGGCUCGAACGGCAGGGGAAUAACUCAGAGAUGGGUUAGUCUUCGGACCGCUGCCGAGGUGCUGCAUGGUUGU
rnacentral:rRNA from 1 species